GCGAUGCAAAGGCCCGGUCUUCUCUGUGCUGUCCAAAUAUCUACUGGACAUUCUGAUAACUGACAAGAAAUUGGUCUUUGGGAAAGAGGCAGUAAAUCCCACCAACGUAUCAUACAUCUUGCGCGGAAACAUACCCGGGCUGAUUCUAGUAAUAUGACAGACGCCGUUAACGUUGCCUUUGGUAAACCUGCCUACCAAACAGACACCAACCGUCCAUAUACGGCGGACCGUAACGUUGACGAAAAUACGAAAUCGCGUUUGAUUGAAGACCAGUCAUGCACCCACACAGCGUCUCACAACGUCUCAUGAUGGGUGAAUCUCGAGCAGAUAUUCCUCAUCCGAAGCGUCAAGAUUUACAAGAGGAAUGUAUGACGUAUUAGACUUAGAGACGUCGAGCUUUACGUCGGGUUAUCGGAGGCCGGCUUUCAAUCUCUUGAAGGGUUUCACCCUGGAGAGGUCGGCGUUUCAUACACGUUUGAGCUACCUACACCGGUGUACGGUCAGUGGGUACGGAUUACGCGUAGCACUCCUAACGAUGUACUCACUCUGUGCGAGGUUAAGGUGGAAGGUGCUCCGUACUCUGCAGCCAAUGGCACACGUUAUUCGGUUUUCCAAGGAUAUGUUCACAUUGGCACUGCAAUCGACGUUUCCGCGAAGGUCCUGUCAAAUCUCCUCUGCGCAUCAAGCUGUUCCAAAACAGAGAACUGCAUGUUUCUUAUUUAUACUUACUAUUUAU